UAGGGAGCAAGCGUGGUCCGGAAUCAUUGGGCGUAAAGCGCGCGUAGGUGGCCCCAUAAGUCCGCUGUGAAAGUCAAAGGCUCAACCUUUGAAAGCCGGUGGAUACUGUGGGACUAGAGUACGGAAGAGGCGAGUGGAAUUCCUGGUGUAGCGGUGGAAUGCGCAGAUAUCAGGAGGAACACCAAUAGCGAAGGCAGCUCGCUGGGACGUUACUGACACUGAGGCGCGAAAGCGUGGGGAGCGAACAGG
rnacentral:rRNA from 1 species